rnacentral:rRNA from 1 species
ACUUUCAUCGAAUACGGCUUUCCACAUAAUUCUAUAGGGAUCUAUGAGAUCAAGUAUGGGAUACUGUUUACUCACUUUAAAUUGAGUAUCCAUUUCCCUCCUUUUCCCGCUAGGAUCGGAAAUCCUGUAUUUUCCAUACCCAUAAUGAAAGAAAGAUCCGUAUGGUUCACAAAAAUUAGUAGAUCAAAGAAUAAGGUUGCGCAUGUCAUGGUAGCUAUGGGUUCAUAG